GCUUGUCUCAAAGAUUAAGCCAUGCAUGUCUAAGUAUAAACUGCUUAUACUGUGAAACUGCGAAUGGCUCAUUAAAUCAGUUAUAGUUUAUUUGAUGGUACCUACUACUCGGAUAACCGUAGUAAUUCUAGAGCUAAUACAUGCGAAAAGACCCGACUUUUUGGAAGGGUUGUAUUUAUUAGAUACAAAACCAAUGCGGAGCAAUCCGGUUUUUGGCGAGUCAUAAUAACUUUGCGGAUCGCAUGGCCUUGCGCCGGCGAUGAAUCAUUCAAAUUUCUGCCCUAUCAACUUUCGAUGGUAAGGUAUUGGCCUACCAUGGUUACCACGGGUAACGGGGAAUUAGGGUUCGGUUCCGGAGAGGGGGCCUGAGAAAUGGCCACCACAUCCAAGGAAGGCAGCAGG
rnacentral:rRNA from 1 species